UACGUAGGGGGCGAGCGUUGUCCGGAGUUACUGGGCGUAAAGGGCACGCAGGCGGUCGUGUAAGUCUGUUCUGACAGCUCCUGGCUCAACCGGGAGAGGCGAACGGAAACUGUACGACUUGAGGACUUCAGAGGGACACGGAAUUCCGGGUGGAGUGGUGAAAUGCGUAGAGAUCCGGAGGAACACCAAAGGCGAAGGCAGUGUCCUGGGAAGUACCUGACGCUCAGGUGCGAAAGCCAGGGGAGCGAACGGGAUUAGAUACCCCGGUAGUCCUGGCCGUAAACGAUGACCACUAGAUGUGGGGGGUAUCGACCCCCUCCGUGUCGUAGUAAACACAAUAAGUGGUCCGCCUGGGGAGUACGGUCGCAAGAUUAAA
rnacentral:rRNA from 1 species